UCCCCUUCGGGGGACAAGUAGAGUGGCGCACGGGUGAGUAACACGUAGGUAAUCUACCUUUGGAUGGGGAAUAACAACCGGAAACGGUUGCUAAUACCGCAUAAUGCAGCGGCACCUAAUGGUGACAGUUGUUAAAGCGGGGGAUCGAAAGACCUCGCGUCUGAAGAGGAGCCUGCGGCGGAUUAGCUAGUUGGUAGGGUAACGGCCUACCAAGGCGACGAUCCGUAGCUGGUCUGAGAGGACGGCCAGCCACAAUGGCACUGACAUACGGGUCAGACUCCUACGGGAGGCAGCAGUCGGGAAUUUUGGGCAAUGGGCGAAAGCCUGACCCAGCAACGCCGCGUGAAGGAUGAAAUCCCUCGGGAUGUAAACUUCGCAAGAACGGGAAGAAUAAGUAGGGGACAAUACCCCCUAUGAUGACGGUACCGUUUGUAAGCUCCGGCUAACUCCGUGCCAGCAGCCGCGGUAAUACGGGGGGAGCAAGCGUUGUUCGGAUUUACUGGGCGUAAAGGGCGCGUAGGCGGCCAGUGCAAGUCAGUUGUGAAAUCUCCGAGCUUAACUCGGAAAGGUCAACUGAUACUGCUCGGCUAGAGUGCGGAAGGGGCAACUGGAAUUCUUGGUGUAGCGGUGAAAUGCGUAGAUAUCAAGAGGAACACCUGCGGCGAAGGCGGGUUGCUGGGCCGACACUGACGCUGAGGCGCGAAAGCUAGGGGAGCGAACGGGAUUAGAUACCCCGGUAG
rnacentral:rRNA from 1 species